CAAGCCUGGAAACGGGGUCUAAUACCGGAUGGGACUGCCGGCCGCAUGGUCUGGUGGUGGAAAGCGUUUAGUGGUGCAGGAUGAGCCCGCGGCCUAUCAGCUUGUUGGUGGGGUGAGUGCCUACCAAGGCGACGACGGGUAGCCGGCCUGAGAGGGCGACCGGCCACACUGGGACUGAGACACGGCCCAGACUCCUACGGGAGGCAGCAGUGGGGAAUAUUGCACAAUGGGCGGAAGCCUGAUGCAGCGACGCCGCGUGAGGGAUGACGGCCUUCGGGUUGUAAACCUCUUUCAGCAGGGAAGAAGCCGCAAGUGACGGUACCUGCAGAAGAAGCACCGGCUAACUACGUGCCAGCAGCCGCGGUAAUACGUAGGGUGCGAGCGUUGUCCGGAAUUAUUGGGCGUAAAGAGCUCGUAGGCGGCGUGUCACGUCGGAUGUGAAAGCCCGGGGCUUAACUCCGGGUUUGCAUUCGAUACGGGCAGGCUAGAGUUCGGUAGGGGAGAUCGGAAUUCCUGGU
rnacentral:rRNA from 1 species